GAUGAACGCUGGCGGCGUGCCUAAUACAUGCAAGUCGAGCGAACAGACGAGGAGCUUGCUCCUCUGACGUUAGCGGCGGACGGGUGAGUAACACGUGGAUAACCUACCUAUAAGACUGGGAUAACUUCGGGAAACCGGAGCUAAUACCGGAUAAUAUAUUUAACCGCAUGGUUCAAUAGUGAAAGACGGUUUUGCUGUCACUUAUAGAUGGAUCCGCGCCGCAUUAGCUAGUUGGUAAGGUAACGGCUUACCAAGGCGACGAUGCGUAGCCGACCUGAGAGGGUGAUCGGCCACACUGGAACUGAGACACGGUCCAGACUCCUACGGGAGGCAGCAGUAGGGAAUCUUCCGCGAUGGGCGAAAGCCUGACGGAGCAACGCCGCGUGAGUGAUGAAGGUCUUCGGAUCGUAAAACUCUGUUAUUAGGGAAGAACAAAUGUGUAAGUAACUAUGCACGUCUUGACGGUACCUAAUCAGAAAGCCACGGCUAACUACGUG
rnacentral:rRNA from 1 species